GUGAUAAUGUAGCGAAAUCAAUAGUCAAUUAAUUGUUGGCCGGUAUGAAGGGCAUCACGAAAGCCCCACUGUCUUAAAAGGACUCUCCAUGAAAUUGAAUUCGUAGUGAAGAUGCUACGUCCAUACUGUAAGACGAAAAGACCCCGUAGAGCUUUACUUAAAAUUUGUGGGGCUAAACUUGAAAUAGGAGUUUAGACUAGGUGGGGGCGUUCUGUAAGAUGAAACACCACCCCCUUGUUGAAAAAAAGCUAACCCGACAGGAGAGGGGCAAGUUGGAAAGUUUGGUUGGGGCGACCGCCUCACUGACCGUGAUAAUGUAGCGUGACUAGAUGUCAAAACUGAGAGUAGCCCUCUAUCGGUCUAAAUCAAUAGUGCAUUUGGGCUAUUUCAAAACAGCAUUAAGAUCGGAAAAAUCAAAGAAAAAGCAAAGAAGGCGAAUAAAAGCUACCAUGGG
rnacentral:rRNA from 1 species